ACUCUGGUAUUGAUUGGUGCUUGCAUCAUGAUUUACAUUUGAGUGAGUGGCGAACUGGUGAGUAACACGUGGGAAACCUGCCCAGAAGCGGGGGAUAACACCUGGAAACAGAUGCUAAUACCGCAUAACAACUUGGACCGCAUGGUCCGAGUUUGAAAGAUGGCUUCGGCUAUCACUUUUGGAUGGUCCCGCGGCGUAUUAGCUAGAUGGUGGGGUAACGGCUCACCAUGGCAAUGAUACGUAGCCGACCUGAGAGGGUAAUCGGCCACAUUGGGACUGAGACACGGCCCAAACUCCUACGGGAGGCAGCAGUAGGGAAUCUUCCACAAUGGACGAAAGUCUGAUGGAGCAACGCCGCGUGAGUGAAGAAGGGUUUCGGCUCGUAAAACUCUGUUGUUAAAGAAGAACAUAUCUGAGAGUAACUGUUCAGGUAUUGACGGUAUUUAACCAGAAAGCCACGGCUAACUACGUGCCAGCAGCCGCGGUAAUACGUAGGUGGCAAGCGUUGUCCGGAUUUAUUGGGCGUAAAGCGAGCGCAGGCGGUUUUUUAAGUCUGAUGUGAAAGCCUUCGGCUCAACCGAAGAAGUGCAUCGGAAACUGGGAAACUUGAGUGCAGAAGAGGACAGUGGAACUCCAUGUGUAGCGGUGAAAUGCGUAGAUAUAUGGAAGAACACCAGUGGCGAAGGCGGCUGUCUGGUCUGUAACUGACGCUGAGGCUCGAAAGUAUGGGUAGCAAACAGGAUUAGAUACCCUGGUAGUCCAUACCGUAAACGAUGAAUGCUAAGUGUUGGGAGGGUUUCCGCCCUUCAGUGCUGCAGCUAACGCAUUAAGCAUUCCGCCUGGGGAGUACGGCCGCAAGGCUGAAACUCAAAGGAAUUGACGGGGGCCCGCACAAGCGGUGGAGCAUGUGGUUUAAUUCGAAGCUACGCGAAGAACCUUACCAGGUCUUGACAUACUAUGCAAAUCUAA
rnacentral:rRNA from 2 species